GAAGGCCCCAGUGCAGCAGCAACAGCACAUGAUGGAGAUGAUGAUGAGGAGGAGACCAUCUCUCUGGAUUCCAGAAGGCAUGAGGACCCAGAUGCUAUACAGUGGGAAAACCAGCCUGGCAACAUAAGCUCACAAGCUAUCAGAAAGUUGUAUGGCAACCACCUCCGGCGCCAAAUAGAACUGGCAGACAUAGACAUUCAGUACAAGAAGAAAAAGAUGGAAAAUCUUGCACUGGAGUCCGAAAUAAAAAAGAGGACAAUUAGGAAACUGGACCUUGAAAUAAAAAAACUUGAGAGGGAGCUCCAAGAAGAUGACACAGCUCAAAAUAAAAAUUAGGUAUAUUCUCGUAAAGUCAAGUGAGCCAUGACAUAUGAGCUCUUAUUGUGAGCACACAGGACGGUGGCAUCUUUCUAAGGUUUUUUUAUUUUCCCAGCAAUCAGUACAACCAAGUCAUCGUUAUAAGGCAUCGCC